GACGAACGCUGGCGGCGUGCUUAACACAUGCAAGUCGAACGGAAAGGCCCUGCUUUUGUGGGGUGCUCGAGUGGCGAACGGGUGAGUAACACGUGAGUAACCUGCCCUUGACUUUGUGAUAACUUCAGGAAACUGGGGCUAAUACCGGAUAGGAUCUCCUGCUGCAUGUUGGGGGUUGGAAAGUUUCGGCGGUUGGGUAUGGACUCGCGGCUUAUCAGCUUGUUGGGGGGGUAGUGGCUUUCCAGGGCUUUGACGGGUAGCCUGCCUGAGAGGGUGACCGGACACAUUAGGACUGAGAUACGGACCAGAAGGCUACGGGAGGCAGCAGUGGAGAACAUGGCACAAUAGGCGGAAGCCUGAUGCAGCAACGCCGCGUGCGGGAUGACGGCCUUCGGGUUGUAAACAGAUUUCGAAUGUGACGAAGCGUGAGUGACGGUAAUGGGUAAAGAAGCACCGGCUAACUACGUG
rnacentral:rRNA from 1 species